rnacentral:tRNA from 1 species
GCUCAGGUGGCGGAAUUGGUAGACGCGCAAGCAUGAGGCGCUUGUGGGAUCCGUAUCCCGUGGAGGUUCAAGUCCUCUCCUGAGCACAA